GAUGAACGCUGGCGGCGUGCCUAAUACAUGCAAGUCGAGCGAACGGACGAGAAGCUUGCUUCUCUGAUGUUAGCGGCGGACGGGUGAGUAACACGUGGAUAACCUACCUAUAAGACUGGGAUAACUUCGGGAAAACGGAGCUAAUAACGGAUAAUAUUUUGAACCGCAUGGUUCAAAAGUGAAAGACGGUCUUGCUGUCACUUAUAGAUGGAUCCGCGCUGCAUUAGCUAGUUGGUAAGGUAACGGCUUACCAAGGCAACGAUGCAUAGCCGACCUGAGAGGGUGAUCGGCCACACUGGAACUGAGACACGGUCCAGACUCCUACGGGAGGCAGCAGUAGGGAAUCUUCCGCAAUGGGCGAAAGCCUGACGGAGCAACGCCGCGUGAGUGAUGAAGGUCUUCGGAUCGUAAAACUCUGUUAUUAGGGAAGAACAUAUGUGUAAGUAACUGUGCACAUCUUGACGGUACCUAAUCAGAAAGCCACGGCUAACUACGUG
rnacentral:rRNA from 1 species